UGGAGAAAGUCUGACGGAGCACGCCGCGUGAACGAUGAAGGCCUUCGGGUCGUAAAGUUCUGUUGUUAGGGAAGAACAAGUACCAGAGUAACUGCUGGUACCUUGACGGUACCUAACCAGAAAGCCACGGCUAACUACGUGCCAGCAGCCGCGGUAAUACGUAGGUGGCAAGCGUUGUCCGGAAUUAUUGGG
rnacentral:rRNA from 1 species